rnacentral:rRNA from 1 species
GACGAACGCUGGCGGCGUGCCUAAUACAUGCAAGUCGAACGCUUCUUUCCUCCCGAGUGCUUGCACUCAAUUGGAAAGAGGAGUGGCGGACGGGUGAGUAACACGUGGGUAACCUACCCAUCAGAGGGGGAUAACACUUGGAAACAGGUGCUAAUACCGCAUAACAGUUUAUGCCGCAUGGCAUAAGAGUGAAAGGCGCUUUCGGGUGUCGCUGAUGGAUGGACCCGCGGUGCAUUAGCUAGUUGGUGAGGUAACGGCUCACCAAGGCCACGAUGCAUAGCCGACCUGAGAGGGUGAUCGGCCACACUGGGACUGAGACACGGCCCAGACUCCUACGGGUGGCAGCAGUAGGGAAUCUUCGGCAAUGGACGAAAGUCUGACCGAGCAACGCCGCGUGAGUGAAGAAGGUUUUCGGAUCGUAAAACUCUGUUGUUAGAGAAGAACAAGGACGUUAGUAACUGAACGUCCCCUGACGGUAUCUAACCAGAAAGCCACGGCUAACUACGUG